rnacentral:rRNA from 1 species
UACGUAGGGUGCGAGCGUUGUCCGGAAUUAUUGGGCGUAAAGAGCUCGUAGGCGGUGUGUCACGUCGGCCGUGAAAACCUGCAGCUUAACUGUGGGCGUGCGGUCGAUACGGGCAUCACUGGAGUCCGGCAGGGGAGACUGGAAUUCCUGGUGUAGCGGUGAAAUGCGCAGAUAUCAGGAGGAACACCGGUGGCGAAGGCGGGUCUCUGGGCCGAUACUGACGCUGAGGAGCGAAAGCGUGGGGAGCAAACGGG